GAUCUCUGCUGAGAGGAGCGUCUGUGGAGUCCGACAGAGGAGGAGGAGGAGGAGGGCGGACACACACACACACACACACACACACACACACACACACACACACACACACACACACACACACACACACACACACACACACACACACACACACACACACACACACACAGUGUUUCCUGCACAAACAAUAAACUUGUUGAUUUUCCUCUAAAACACAACUGGGGCUCGGAGGCCUCAUCAAUCAAUCCGCCGAUCAGUCUCCAAUCACUCAUCGAUACCCGCUAUCGGCACCGUCACUCUUAUAUAAUGUCACUUCAGGCCUGCAGUUGUGUAAUCUGUGUGCGCAGCUCAUUAAAACGAGCCGCUUUAUUUUCUGCUCGGUUUUUGAGUUUUUUUUCUCUCUCCCGCGGAGCGUCUCUGUCAGCCCGCCCCGCCGCCAGAGCCCCGACCCCGGCUUCAGUCCUCCGCCGGGCUCCGGGGGUCUGAGCGGGGACGGACAUCCUUCUCCUCUCCGGCCUGUCUGCCUCCCUCCGCCCGCCCUCCUUCUCCCAACACCUGCAUCCAUCCAUCCAGCCAGCCAGCCUUCCAUCCAGGAAAACACCUGGAGGCAGGAAGCGCGCGCCGCUCUGCUCUCACCUGUCCGCGCAGGUAGAGCGGCGCAGGUGAGCGCCGCGCUUUGAUUGGCUGUGGAGAGAGAAGCGAGGAGCAGCGGGAGAAGAGGAGAGCAGUAACGGUGAAAGAAGGAGAGGAGCACCGGGGAGAGGAGGAGAGGAGCACCGGGGAAAGGAGGAGAGGAGCACCGGGGAGAGGAAGAGAGGAGCGGCGGGUACCUACCGGAGCGGCUCCGUGAUUCGUGCUGGAGGAGAAGGACCGGCGGUGGGGUAAAAGUGACGCCGCAGCUGCCCCCCCUCCUCCGGAUUAUAGAAGCUCCGGAGUCCCGGUGAGUCCCGCUCGUGCAGGUUUAGUGAACCCCGCGUGCCGCACUCCCUCACCUGAUUGGCUGACAGGUGGACUCACCUGCCCAGGUGUACCUGCUCAGAAACAGGUCUCACCUGUCAGGAUGGAUGGAGGACAACACUCACCCACAGGCUUCCUCUACACCUGAGGCUGGUCACUUGAUGAUGCCGAGGUCAUGUGACUCCUCCCUCACAGGUGGACAAUGAUCUGUGAUGAGACGUGAAUCAUCUCAGUUUGUGGGGGUUGAGCAGGUAUUAGAGGGCUGUGGGGGGUUUAAAGGGGUAUUUGAAGGGGUAUGACACUAAUCACAGUGUCAGUGUUCCCAUUAGGCUUACAGCAGCAGGGGGCUUACAGAGGAGGGGUCACAUCCGGCUUCAGCUAUUGUCUGAACUGUUUACAGUCUUUGUCUCAUUUACAAAGAAGAGAGAGAAUAGAAAGUACAUGUACUCAAACACCGUAAUCUAGUACAAUUUUGAGGUUCUAGCUAAUUGUUCUAAUACCACACCGUCAAAGUACUCUCUUACGCUCUGAGAAUGUUACUUAAGUAAUAGAAAAUAGAAUAUUUUCACAAAGAAUGUACUUCAACUAAUAAAAAUAAAAGGACUCGGUGCAGAAAAAUGUCUCCUGUGACUUUUAUUUGGAUAUAUAUAUUAUUGUGUUAUCAAAUUAAACUAGUGAGCUAUCGUUAGCUGAGCUUGCUAGAAAUUUAUGCUAGCUAGUAUUGUUUACGCUAAACUAAGCUAAACUAGAAAGCUAAUGUCAGCUAAACAUGUUACCAACUAAUGUUAGCUAGUUUACCUUAAGCAUAACUAAGCUAUAGUAGGGAGCCAAUGUUAGCUAAUCAUGCUAUAAAUGGAUAUCAGCUAAUUUAGAUUAACUUAUUUGAGCUAAACUAGCAAGUUAACGCUUGCUAAACAUGGUAUAAGCUAAUGUUAGCUAGUUCAUCUUAAGCAUAACACAGCUAGACAAAUGAGGUAAUGUCAGCUGAACAUGUAAAAAAAACAAUGUUAGCUAGUUUACCUGAAGCUUAAGUUAGCUAUACUAGAAAGCCAUUGUUUGCUAAACGUGCUAUAGAUGGCUAUUAGCUCAUUCAUAUCAAGCUUAUUUAAGCUAAACUAGCUAGCUAACAUUAGCUGAACAUGUUAACAAGUAAUGUUAGCU